rnacentral:lncRNA from 12 species
GGCUGGAGAACACAGAGGCUGAACCUUGUUUUGAUGUUUGAGCAUCUCCAAGGGCAUUAAGGACUUCAGGAUGGAGGAAGCAGCUCAGAGAUUGGUUGUGACAUACCCCAGGCUAAUUCCAUGGAAAGCCUGUUUUCCAAAGGAAACAUUUGCCAUCUUACUCCCAGCUUUGAUUUGCCUGUCCCUGCUCACUUGCCAGAGCUUGUUCUGCAACGUUAAUAGGGAAGUUUCUUUGCACGGAGCCAAUUGUGCCCCAGUGAUUUUGUUCAAGGGAUAAAAAGCACAUUCACUCGGUGUUUGAGGUGGCAUUUAUUUGGUGGGUGAGCUGGAGGGCUCAGUGGGCAGAGAGAAAAAAAAAACAAACCAUCCCUGUGAGGAGCUCUUUGAAAAGAAAAGAAACAAGAACCCAGGAGAGAUAAGAAAACGAGCGCUUGCAGGAUCUGGGAGAGCCUCGUGCAGAGGGACAGAGACAAAGCACGAGAAUGCACUUUAUUUGUGACAAGCUUUCCAUCCUGGGCAGCCAAACAGGACAUCCUGCCUCAGUUCUCCUUCCUCUCUUUAAUUAGAGUUGCGUUCAGGACACUGUCAUUAAUGUCAUCUCAGCAUUUCCAUGGCAGAGCCCUGUUUUUGCUGGACUUUAGGAACUUGGCCCUAGAAAAGCCUGUUUUUAGUGCAGAGCUGCUCAGC